AGGGAGAGUCGAGCGAACAGAAAGGAGUUGCUCUUUGACGUUAGCGGCGGACGGUGAUUAACACGUGAGCAACCUACCUUAUAGUGUGGGAUAACUCCUGGAAACCGGGGCUAAUACCCAUAAUCUGUUUACCUCAUGGUGAAACACUGAAAGACGGUUCUACGCAUGUCCGCUAUAGAUGGGUCCUAUGGCGCAUUAGCUACUCUGGUGAGGUAACCGGCUCACCAAGGCGACCAUUCGUAGCCCGACCUGAGAGGUGAUCUGCACACUGGACUAGACACGGACCAGACUCCUACCUGGAGGCAGAGCCGGGAAUCUUCCACAAUGGGCAAGCCUUGGAGCAACUCCAUAGAGGAAGAAUGAUUUCCGGUCUUAAACUCUGUUGUAGAAGACAUGUCCACACCAUCUGCUGUUCCUUGACGGCCCUUUGGGAAACCCUGGUUUAUUACGUGGCAAAGGGCAUGGGAAAUACCUGGGGAGGGAAUUUGCCGGAAUUAUUUGCCAAAGGGCCCCCCGUGGGUUUACCCUAAUUGAAUGCCCUGGUUAUUGGGAAGGGGUUUUCAACCGGGGGC
rnacentral:rRNA from 1 species